GGAAGUAAAAGUCGAACAAGGUUUCCGUAGGUGAACCUGCGGAAGGAUCAUUCAUAAUAAAGUGUUUUAUGGCACUUUUUAAAAAUCCAUAUCCACCUUGUGUGCAAUGUUAGAUCUCGUCAAUCUUGGCGAGAUUUUUAUACAUCAACUCAUUCUUCAACUAAUUUGUCUGAAAAAUAUUAUGAAUACUUAAUUCAAAAUACAACUUUCAACAACGGAUCUCUUGGCUCUC
rnacentral:misc_RNA from 1 species